AAUUGCUUUUUUUUUUCCAAAUGAACUUUCAUAUUUACAUAUGUAAUGUCCCGCGAGCUUAUUUUCUAUCCUUCCUAUUUCUCAACACGGCCUCUGCGCGUAUCGAAAUAACACGAGAAAUUAAUCAAGAUCAGGGUAUUCGCCGGCUGCCUGGGAUUGAACCCGCGACCAGCGUGACGGGAGAGCCACUCCUUACCGAGUCGGCCAAAGAGGUACCCCACUGGCUAAGUGGGUUAUGGGAGGCUCGUUCAUCAGGCCGUCGCCGCACUACACAUAUAUGUUGCAUAUGUUAUGUCACUGGUUCCCAACCUUUUUUUCAGGCGACCCCAAUCAUUCACUUCUAUACAUGACUGCGACCCCACUAGUUUAGUUAUAUAGGCGGUGGCUGAGUGGUUAGCGUGCGGGCCCCACAUUCACCGCGUGAUGGACGACACGGGUUCGAAUCCCCCGCUACCACCUGGGAUAUUUCAGUCGCUGCCGAGUGGCUUAAAACUACCCACUUGCUGACCUGAAUACCGCCCAUCAACCCAGACUCUACAGGAAACCGUCCAAGUGAAUCAAGAACAAGUUCUGGGGGGCAGCAAGAAAAGGAUGGCGCAACUAUAAAACACUUGCCUGCGCCAUGAUGGGCUGGGGCCGACUAUCAUCCAGGCCCCUCAAGAAAGCCUACCGGCACAAUAGGGUGAUACGUAAAAAAAAAAAAAAAAAAAAAAAAAAUGUGUUAUUAUAAUAUAAUAACACCAUCUUCGAUAUUUUGAGAUCUUGGCAACCCCAGGGUUGGGAAUGGGGUGUUAUGUGAAGUGGCAUGGGAGGGGGGGGCAGUGCCAGCAGACUAGACAAAAGCCAUCAUUGUUCCAGUUUACAAGGGAAAAGGCAGGAGAGGGGAGUGUGGGUGCCAUAGGGGUAUAAGUCUGCUGAGUGUACCUGGAAAGGUAUAUGGAAAAGUCAUAAUAGAGAGGGUGCAAAGGCUUACAGAAGAGAAAAUCAGUGAAGAACAAGGAGGCUUCAGGAACUUUGAACAGGCAAGGAGGGAGUGUCUGGAUAGAGAAAAAUGGAAACUCUUCUGCCGUGGCCAUCCCCUGGUGGGAGCUCCUAGGAACAGGCAUCAAAGAUUAAUGAAAAUGUUGCAGCAGGGUUUACAGAGGCACUUAGAUAAAUUUCAUGAUUGAAACCAAUAGUGAAGUGUAAAAUUCAAUGGCAAGUGCUGUUUAUUAGACAUGGAAAUCAAUUCUCUAUUGCUAAGAGGAAAUUAUAAAAUGAAGAACAAGAAAAAGAAUGAAAUGGUCAUAUUAGAUAACUUAUCAGCAAAGUAUCACAUAUAAGUUCAGACUGAUAAUCAGUAUCAAUUUGACUUACACUGUGGAACAUCAGUUCUCGUACUUGAUAGUUCCUAAAAAGCUGUUCAGAAACCAAUUUCUUCGAAAAUCAAAACCAUAGUUCCCCUAAGAAUUCAUGAGAGAGAGAGAGAGAGAGAGAGAGAGAGAGAGAGAGAGAGAGAGAGAGAGAGAGAGAGAGAGAGAGAGAGAGA